rfam:Sporothrix schenckii ATCC 58251 unplaced genomic scaffold supercont1.2, whole genome shotgun sequence.
GGGCGUGUGGUUUAGGGGUAUAACGUUCGCUUCGCAUGGUUUAGUGGUAUAACCACUACGGCCUUCGAAUCUGCGAAAGGUCCUGGGUUCGAUUCCCAGCCCGUCCA